AACGAACGCUGGCGGCAUGCCUAACACAUGCAAGUCGAACGAGACCUUCGGGUCUAGUGGCGCACGGGUGCGUAACGCGUGGGAACCUGCCUUUAGGUUCGGAAUAACUCAGAGAAAUUUGAGCUAAUACCGGAUAAUGUCUUCGGACCAAAGAUUUAUCGCCUUUAGAUGGGCCCGCGUUGGAUUAGCUAGUUGGUGGGGUAAAGGCCUACCAAGGCGACGAUCCAUAGCUGGUCUGAGAGGAUGAUCAGCCACACUGGGACUGAGACACGGCCCAGACUCCUACGGGAGGCAGCAGUGGGGAAUAUUGGACAAUGGGCGAAAGCCUGAUCCAGCAAUGCCGCGUGCAGGAUGAAGGCCUUCGGGUUGUAACUAGCUUUGUACGGUACGAAACGGUGA
rnacentral:rRNA from 1 species